rnacentral:rRNA from 1 species
AAUGAACGCUGGCGGCAGGCCUAACACGUGCAAGUCGAACGGAUCCUUCGGGAUUAGUGGCGGACGGGUGAGUAACGCGUGGGAACAUACCCUUUGGUACGGAAUAGCCUCGGGAAACUGGGAGUAAUACCGUAUGUGGCCGAGAGACGAAAGAUUUAUCGCCAAAGGAUUGGCCCGCGUGGGAUUAGGUAGUUGGUGGGGUAAUGGCCUACCAAGCCGACGAUCAAUAGCUGGUUUGAGAGGAUGAUCAGACACACUGGGACUGGGACACGGCCCAGACUCCUACGGGAGGCAGCAGUGGGGAAUCUUGGACAAUGGGGGAAACCCUGAUCUAGCCAUGCCGCGUGAUCGAUGAAGGCCUUAGGGUUGUAAAGAUCUUUCAGGUGGGAAGAUAAUGACUGUACCACCAGAAGAAGCCCCGGCUAACUCCGUGCCAUCCGCCGCCGUAACAC